rfam:Daucus carota subsp. sativus cultivar DH1 chromosome 5, whole genome shotgun sequence.
UCUGGGUAGAUGAUGAACACAUGUAUUGACAAAUGGGUAAUUUGCAUCUGAUUUACUGUGAUGCUAAACUCACCUUGGAGAACUGAUACUGCCC